rnacentral:rRNA from 1 species
ACUCCUACGGGAGGCAGCAGUGGGGAAUAUUGCACAAUGGGCGCAAGCCUGAUGCAGCCAUGCCGCGUGUAUGAAGAAGGCCUUCGGGUUGUAAAGUACUUUCAGCAGUGAGGAAGGUAGUGUAGUUAAUAGCUGCAUUAUUUGACGUUAGCUGCAGAAGAAGCACCGGCUAACUCCGUGCCAGCAGCCGCGGUAAUACGGAGGGUGCGAGCGUUAUCCGGAUUUAUUGGGUUUAAAGGGUCCGUAGCGGGUUAUAAGUCAGUGGUGAAACCCAUCGCUUAACGAUGGAACUGCAUUGAUACUGUUAGUCUUGAAUGAGGGUGCAGUGGUUGGAAUGUGUAGUGUAGCGGUGAAAUGCAUAGAUAUUACACAGAACACCGAUUGCGAAGGCAGAUCACUAACCCUAAAUUGACGNUGAGGGACGAAAGCGUGGGGAGCAAACAGGAUUAGAUACCCUGGUAGACUGUC